UUGUGCUAGGCGGGGAGCCAGCGGUGCCCUAUACCCGAAAUCCGCUUAUGCGGGGCUGAAUUCCCCCUUUAGGGUUAGUCUUGAUGCAAUCGAGCUACCCCGACCGGCCGCCGCGCAACAGACGGUCUCGAACCUCGUCAGGUCCGGAAGGAAGCAGCGAUAAGGGAUGCAGUCUGUGUCGUGGAUCGAUCCCGGUCAGGUUGCGGCUCCGGUUUUUCGGACCCACUCGACGGGGGGUGCACAA
rnacentral:SRP_RNA from 1 species